GGUGAGGUGUCCGAGUGGCUGAAGGAGCACGCCUGGAAAGUGUGUAUUACGGCAACGUAUCGGGGGUUCGAAUCCCCCCCUCACCGCCA
rnacentral:tRNA from 1 species